UUGACGGGGACCCGCACAAGCGGUGGAUGAUGUGGAUUAAUUCGAUGCAACGCGAAAAACCUUACCUACCCUUGACAUGUCCGGAAUCCCGAAGAGAUUUUGGGAGUGCUCGCAAGAGAACCGGAACACAGGUGCUGCAUGGCUGUCGUCAGCUCGUGUCGUGAGAUGUUGGGUUAAGUCCCGCAACGAGCGCAACCCUUAUCUUUAAUUGCCAGCAUUCAGUUGGGCACUUUAAAGAGACUGCCGGUGUUAAACCGGAGGAAGGUGGGAUGACGUCAAGUCCUCAUGGCCUUUAUGCUUAGGGCUACACACGUGCUACAAUGGGUGGUACAAAGAGAAGCCAACUCGCGAGAGCGCGCCAAUCUCAAAAAGCCAUCCUCAGUUCGGAUUGGAGUCUGCAACUCGACUCCAUGAAGUUGGAAUCGCUAGUAAUCGCGGAUCAGCAUGCCGCGGUCGAAUACGUUCCCGGGCCUU
rnacentral:rRNA from 1 species